AUCAAUGACUAAAUCACCAAGAAUGCAACCGGUCUCAUCAGAUCUUGGAAGCGAAGCAGGCUCAAGCCUGGAUAGCGCUUGGAUGAGCCACCACCUUGCAUAACAGGUGUUAUAGACU
rnacentral:rRNA from 1 species